rnacentral:rRNA from 1 species
AGAGUUUGAUCCUGGCUCAGGAUGAACGCUGGCGGCGUGCCUAAUACAUGCAAGUCGAACGAGUUCUUGUUGAUGAUCGGUGCUUGCACCAAGAUUCAACAUGGAACGAGUGGCGGACGGGUGAGUAACACGUGGGUAACCUGCCCUUAAGUGGGGGAUAACAUUUGGAAACAGAUGCUAAUACCGCAUAGAUCCAAGAACCGCAUGGUUCUUGGCUGAAAGAUGGCGUAAGCUAUCGCUUUUGGAUGGACCCGCGGCGUAUUAGCUAGUUGGUGAGGUAAUGGCUCACCAAGGCGAUGAUACGUAGCCGAACUGAGAGGUUGAUCGGCCACAUUGGGACUGAGACACGGCCCAAACUCCUACGGGAGGCAGCAGUAGGGAAUCUUCCACAAUGGACGCAAGUCUGAUGGAGCAACGCCGCGUGAGUGAAGAAGGCUUUCGGGUCGUAAAACUCUGUUGUUGGAGAAGAAUGGUCGGCAGAGUAACUGUUGUCGGCGUGACGGUAUCCAACCAGAAAGCCACGGCUAACUACGUGCCAGCAGCCGCGGUAAUACGUAGGUGGCAAGCGUUAUCCGGAUUUAUUGGGCGUAAAGCGAGCGCAGGCGGUUUUUUAAGUCUGAUGUGAAAGCCCUCGGCUUAACCGAGGAAGCGCAUCGGAAACUGGGAAACUUGAGUGCAGAAGAGGACAGUGGAACUCCAUGUGUAGCGGUGAAAUGCGUAGAUAUAUGGAAGAACACCAGUGGCGAAGGCGGCUGUCUGGUCUGUAACUGACGCUGAGGCUCGAAAGCAUGGGUAGCGAACAGGAUUAGAUACCCUGGUAGUCCAUGCCGUAAACGAUGAAUGCUAGGUGUUGGAGGGUUUCCGCCCUUCAGUGCCGCAGCUAACGCAUUAAGCAUUCCGCCUGGGGAGUACGACCGCAAGGUUGAAACUCAAAGGAAUUGACGGGGGCCCGCACAAGCGGUGGAGCAUGUGGUUUAAUUCGAAGCAACGCGAAGAACCUUACCAGGUCUUGACAUCUUUUGAUCACCUGAGAGAUCAGGUUUCCCCUUCGGGGCAAAAUGACAGGUGGUGCAUGGUUGUCGUCAGCUCGUGUCGUGAGAUGUUGGGUUAAGUCCCGCAACGAGCGCAACCCUUAUGACUAGUUGCCAGCAUUUAGUUGGGCACUCUAGUAAGACUGCCGGUGACAAACCGGAGGAAGGUGGGGAUGACGUCAAAUCAUCAUGCCCCUUAUGACCUGGGCUACACACGUGCUACAAUGGAUGGUACAACGAGUUGCGAGACCGCGAGGUCAAGCUAAUCUCUUAAAGCCAUUCUCAGUUCGGACUGUAGGCUGCAACUCGCCUACACGAAGUCGGAAUCGCUAGUAAUCGCGGAUCAGCACGCCGCGGUGAAUACGUUCCCGGGCCUUGUACACACCGCCCGUCACACCAUGAGAGUUUGUAACACCCGAAGCCGGUGGCGUAACCCUUUUAGGGAGCGAGCCGUCUAAGGUGGGACAAAUGAUUAGGGUGAAGUCGUAACAAGGUAGCCGUAGGAGAACCUGCGGCUG